GAUGAACGCUGGCGGCGUGCCUAAUACAUGCAAGUCGAGCGAACGGACGAGAAGCUUGCUUCUCUGAUGUUAGCGGCGGACGGGUGAGUAACACGUGGAUAACCUACCUAUAAGACUGGGAUAACUUCGGGAAACCGGAGCUAAUACCGGAUAAUAUUUUGAACCGCAUGGUUCAAAAGUGAAAGACGGUCUUGCUGUCACUUAUAGAUGGAUCCGCGCUGCAUUAGCUAGUUGGUAAGGUAACGGCUUACCAAGGCAACGAUGCAUAGCCGACCUGAGAGGGUGAUCGGCCACACUGGAACUGAGACACGGUCCAGACUCCUACGGGAGGCAGCAGUAGGGAAUCUUCCGCAAUGGGCGAAAGCCUGACGGAGCAACGCCGCGUGAGUGAUGAAGGUCUUCGGAUCGUAAAACUCUGUUAUUAGGGAAGAACAUAUGUGUAAGUAACUGUGCACAUCUUGACGGUACCUAAUCAGAAAGCCACGGCUAACUACGUGCCAGCAGCCGCGGUAAUACGUAGGUGGCAAGCGUUAUCCCGAAAUUAUUGGGCGUAAAGCGCGCGUAGCGGUUUUUUAAGUCUGAUGUGAAAGCCCACGGCUCAACCGUGGAGGGUCAUUGGAAACUGGAAAACUUGAGUGCAGAAGAGGAAAGUGGAAUUCCAUGUGUAGCGGUGAAAUGCGCAGAGAUAUGGAGGAACACCAGUGGCGAAGGCGACUUUCUGGUCUGUAACUGACGCUGAUGUGCGAAAGCGUGGGGAUCAAACAGGAUUAGAUACCCUGGUAGUCCACGCCGUAAACGAUGAGUGCUAAGUGUUAGGGGGUUUCCGCCCCUUAGUGCUGCAGCUAACGCAUUAAGCACUCCGCCUGGGGAGUACGACCGCAAGGUUGAAACUCAAAGGAAUUGACGGGGACCCGCACAAGCGGUGGAGCAUGUGGUUUAAUUCGAAGCAACGCGAAGAACCUUACCAAAUCUUGACAUCCUUUGACAACUCUAGAGAUAGAGCCUUCCCCUUCGGGGGACAAAGUGACAGGUGGUGCAUGGUUGUCGUCAGCUCGUGUCGUGAGAUGUUGGGUUAAGUCCCGCAACGAGCGCAACCCUUAAGCUUAGUUGCCAUCAUUAAGUUGGGCACUCUAAGUUGACUGCCGGUGACAAACCGGAGGAAGGUGGGGAUGACGUCAAAUCAUCAUGCCCCUUAUGAUUUGGGCUACACACGUGCUACAAUGGACAAUACAAAGGGCAGCGAAACCGCGAGGUCAAGCAAAUCCCAUAAAGUUGUUCUCAGUUCGGAUUGUAGUCUGCAACUCGACUACAUGAAGCUGGAAUCGCUAGUAAUCGUAGAUCAGCAUGCUACGGUGAAUACGUUCCCGGGUCU
rnacentral:rRNA from 1 species